CCUACGUGAGGCAGCAGUGGGGAAUAUUGCGCAAUGGGCGAAAGCCUGACGCAGCGACGCCGCGUGAGGGAUGAAGGUCUUCGGAUCGUAAACCUCUGUCAGCAGGGAAGAACGGUCACUGUGCUAAUCAGCAGUGAAUUGACGGUACCUGCAAAGGAAGCACCGGCUAACUCCGUGCCAGCAGCCGCGGUAAUACGGAGGGUGCGAGCGUUAAUCGGACUUACUGGGCGUAAAGCGCUCGUAGGCGGUCUGUCAAGUCAAGGGUGAAAUCCCCGCGCUAAACGUGGGAACUGCAUUUGAAACUGGCAAACUGGAGUGUGUGAGAGGAUAGUGGAAUUCCAGGUGUAGGAGUGAAAUCCGUAGAUAUCUGGAGGAACAUCAGUGGCGAAGGCGACUAUCUGGCACAUAACUGACGCUGAGGAGCGAAAGCGUGGGUAGCAAACAGGAUUAGAUACCCGAGUAGUC
rnacentral:rRNA from 1 species